rnacentral:misc_RNA from 1 species
GAUGAAGAAUGCAGCGAAAUGCGAUAAGUAAUGUGAAUUGCAGAAUUCAGUGAAUCAUCGAAUCUUUGAACGCACAUUGCGCCCGCCAGUAUUCUGGCGGGCAUGCCUGUCCGAGCGUCAUUUCAACCCUCGAACCCCUCCGGGGGGUCGGCGUUGGGGAUCGGCCCUCCCUUAGCGGGUGGCCGUCUCCGAAAUACAGUGGCGGUCUCGCCGCAGCCUCUCCUGCGCAGUAGUUUGCACACUCGCAUCGGGAGCGCGGCGCGUCCACAGCCGUUAAACACCCAACUUCUGAAAUGUUGACCUCGGAUCAGGUAGGAAUACCCGCUGAACUUAAGCAUAUCAAUAAGCGGAGGA